CAGCMGCCGCGGUAAUWCGAANGGGGCUAGCGUUGUUCGGAGUUACUGGGCGUAAAGGGCGCGUAGNCGGCGUAUCAAGUUGGGUGUGAAAGCCCUGGGCUCAACCCGGGAUGUGCACUCAAGACUGGUAUGCUAGAGGAUGGGAGAGGAUNGUGGAAUUCCCAGUGUAGAGGUGAAAUUCGUAGAUAUUGGGAAGAACACCGGUGGCGAANNCNGCCAUCUGGACCAUUUCUGACNCUGAGGCGCGAAAGCGUGGGGAGCAAACAGGAUUAGAUACCCUGGUAGUCCACGCCGUAAACGAUNAAUGCUAGACNUCNNGGCUCUUAGAGCUUCGGUGUCGCCGCUAACGCAUUAAGCAUUCCGCCUGGGGAGUACGGCCGCAAGGUUAAAACUCAAAGGAAUUGACNGGGNCCCGCACAAGCGGUGGAGCAUGUGGUUUAAUUCAAAGCAACGCGCAGAACCUUACCAACCCUUGACAUGGGACGUACGGGCUUGAGAGAUCAGGUCCACCAGUUCNGCNNGCGUCCACACAGGUGCUGCAUNNCUGCCGUCAGCUCGUGUCGUGAGAUGUUGGGUUAAGUCCCGCAACGAGCGCAACCCCCAUCUUCAGUUGCCAUCAGGUUAAGCUGGGCACUCUGAAGAAACCNCCGGUGACAAGCCNNAGGAANGCNGGGAUGACNUCAAGUCCUCAUGGCCCUUAUGGGUUGGGCUACACACGUGCUACAAUGGUGGUGACAAUGGGAAGCGAAGGCGCGAGCCGGGGCAAAUCUCAAAAAGCCAUCUCAGUUCGGAUUGCACUCUGCAACUCGGGUGCAUAAAGGUGGAAUCGCUAGUAAUCGUGGAUCAGCAUGCCACGGUGAAUACNUNCCCNNGCCUUGYACACACCGCCCGUC
rnacentral:rRNA from 1 species